rnacentral:rRNA from 1 species
AUUGAACGCUGGCGGCAGGCCUAACACAUGCAAGUCGAACGGUAACAGGAAGAAGCUUGCUUCUUUGCUGACGAGUGGCGGACGGGUGAGUAAUGUCUGGGAAACUCCCUGAUGUAGGGGGAUAACUACUGGAAACGGUAGCUAAUACCGCAUAACGUCGCAAGCCCAAAAAGGGGGACCUUCGGGCCUCUUGCCAUCGGAUGUGCCCAGAUGGGAUUAGCUAGUAGGUGGGGUAACGUCUCACCUAGGCGACGAUCCCUAGCUGGUCUGAGAGGAUGACCAGCCACACUGGAACGGAGACACGGUCCAGACUCCUACGGGAGGCAGCAGUGGGGAAUAUUGCACAGUGGGCGCAAGCCUGAUGCAGCCAUGCCGCGUGUAUGAAGAAGGCCUUCGGGUUGUAAAGUACUUUCAGCGGGGAGGAAGGGAGUAAGGUUAAUACCUUUGCUCAUUGACGUUACCCGCAGAAGAAGCACCGGCUAACUCCGUG